CUUGGUUCUUAACACAGGUGAAGUGUCCAGCUAUGCUUCUCACUGACCAGUCACACUGGCAAGUCGAACGCGCAGGGAGAGACGACCCUCGUUACCACUCUGUACGCUGAUCUUGAUUCACGGUAUGACUAAUGUUUCCCCUCCCCGCUCUCAGUUCAUCCUUGGACCUUGUGUUUGUGUGAUGGUUUUUCGAAUCUCUUGCAGACUGGGGUGUGCAGUACGUCCGCAGGUGCCACGGAUAUGGAGCCUGAUGUUGCUGCUGAAGAGCAGAGCGAUCAAGCUCCCCCAAAGGGACAUCUAGAGGGCCUUACUCAUCAGGUGUUGUGUGUUCUGGAAGAUGGAAGAGGAAGAAAACUAAUUUUUGUUGAACUAAAUUUUUUGUAUUCUGUUUUGUUGUAUGUAUGAUUUGAUAGUUUUGUAUAGGAACAUGUGAUACUAUUUUGUAGGGCUUUAUGGCCUGUGAUGUAAACAUAUUUAGUGAUGAAUUAUGAAAUUAUUUGCAAAAUUA